rnacentral:pre_miRNA from 1 species
AUCUGUUCACAUCUUACCGGGCAGCAUUAGAUCCUUUUUAAAACUCUAAUACUGUCAGGUAAAGAUGUCGUCCGU